GAUGAACGCUGGCGGCGUGCUUAACACAUGCAAGUCGAACGGGAAACAUUUCAUUGAGGCUUCGGCGGAUUUGAUCUGUUUCUAGUGGCGGACGGGUGAGUAACGCGUGGGUAACCUGCCUUAUACCGGGGGAUAACAGCCAGAAAUGACUGCUAAUACCGCAUAAGCGCACAGAACCGCAUGGUUCCGUGUGAAAAACUCCGGUGGUAUAAGAUGGACCCGCGUUGGAUUAGCUAGUUGGCAGGGCAGCGGCCUACCAAGGCGACGAUCCAUAGCCGGCCUGAGAGGGUGAACGGCCACAUUGGGACUGAGACACGGCCCAGACUCCUACGGGAGGCAGCAGUGGGGAAUAUUGCACAAUGGGGGAAACCCUGAUGCAGCGACGCCGCGUGAAGGAAGAAGUAUCUCGGUAUGUAAACUUCUAUCAGCAGGGAAGAUAAUGACGGUAC
rnacentral:rRNA from 1 species